CCACUGAUUCUCCACGUAGGACCAAAACGCAACAGCAAUUCUAUAUUAUUUUCUCUAGAUUCGUAAGAGAACCAAUGUAUAAUGGAUUCCCCUACAAACGUUAUAAACACUACAAUUCCCCAGUAGUACAGCUAUACAGACAUGUGGCGAAGGAGCUUCAGCACCGGAACCAAUAUCUCAACAACCGUGCGCGCACUUAAGGAAAAGAAAUGGGACGUGCUAGUUAUUGGCGGCGGCCAUAACGGCUUGACAGCCGCCGCCUACCUUGCAAAGACUGGACUCUCCGUCGCCGUGCUGGAGCGUCGUCAUGUCAUCGGCGGUGCUGCCGUAACAGAAGAGCUAAUUCCUGGAUUUAAGUUCUCUCGCUGUAGCUACCUUCAAAGUCUCCUCCGUCCUUCCGUUAUAAAAGAGUUGGAGUUAGCAAGACACGGAUUGAAGUUGUUGAAGAGAAAUCCGUCGUCGUUUACGCCGUGUUUGGAUGGACGGUAUCUUUUAUUAGGACCUAAUAAGGAUCUUAAUCAUUCUGAGAUUUCCAAAUUCUCAAUUCGAGAUGCUGAUAAUUAUCCCAGAUAUGAGAAUCAGCUUGAGAAUUUCUGUAAAUUUAUGGAUCCGCUUUUGGAUUCACCUCCUCCAGAAUCAUUGCAAAAUGUUGCAUCUUUUAAUGAUAGGUUGAAGGACAAAAUACAGAAAUCAGCCUUUUGGGCUCGUUGUUUGAGGCAGGCUUUCACUUUAGGUCAGAAAGAUAUGGUGGACUUCAUGGACAUUUUGUUGUCUCCAGCUUCAAAGGUUUUGAAUAACUGGUUUGAGUCAGAUGUUCUGAAGGCAACCCUUGCAACAGAUGCUGUAAUAGGUUCCACGGGUAGUGUCACUACACCAGGAAGUGGAUAUGUUCUGCUGCAUCAUGUUAUGGGAGAAACUGAUGGGGAUCGUGGAAUUUGGUCGUAUGUCGAAGGUGGGAUGGGCUCCGUAUCCCUUGCAAUUGGUAAUGCUGCUCGGGAAGCUGGGGCUUAUAUCGUGACUAGUGCUGAGGUUUCAGAACUGAUGAUUAAUGACUCUGGCUCAGUAAAUGGGGUGUUACUGGCUGAUGGCACACCGGUGCUUUCUUCAGUUGUGCUGUCAAAUGCCACUCCUUAUAAAACAUUCAUGGAAUUAGUUCCCAGCAAUGUUCUUCCUGUAGAUUUUAUCCGUGCUCUAAAAUACUCUGAUUAUAAUUCUGCCACCACAAAGAUAAACAUAGCUGUUGAUAAACUGCCCCAAUUUCAAUGUUGCAAGCUGAGUCAUCAAGAUGCAGGUCCUCAGCAUAUGGGUACCGUUCAUAUUGCUUCAGAGAGUACCUCAUGUAAAAUUUACACAACUUUUGUGCUGCCUCACAUCCAUUCCAUCUCUGCUUUAACAAGUAUGGAGGAGAUUCACUUGGCAUGUCAAGAUGCUGUUAAUGGGUUGCCAUCAAGAAGACCUGUUAUUGAAAUGACAAUUCCUUCUGCAUUGGACAAGACUAUUUCUCCACUUGGUUUGUUAUUAUGACAAUGGCGGCUGAGUGGAGACACCAGUGUAGGCAAAAUUUACUGAACUAAUCAAGCAGUUCAGCAGCUGCUAAGUAAGAAACUUCAUUGUUUUUCUCGCUCAGCGAAUAUUUUGUGCUCAAGUUGGUUACUGGAUGCUACUUAGAUUAAUAUCCAUUAUGAGUUGGCUACUGAGCUGAGGUCAUAGAAUUUUACUAUAGUGGGGGAACCGAGCCAUAAAUACAAAAAUGCUAAGUGUAACCACAAGAAAUAAUGCUGAUUCAGUGAAUAAAAAGCUCAUGAGUCCCUUUGCUGUUAUUAUGUCUUCACCUCUAUGCUGCUCUCAUUUUCUUCACUUUCCUUAUUCUCUUAUGUUCCCUUGAAUUUUUUUUUCUCAAUUAUUGAAUGCAUGUGGGGGUAAUUAACAACUGAUUUUGGUCUAAGACCUUAAUUUUUUGUGAUAGAUCCCCCUAUCAUGUGACGUGACUGCUGAAAACAUAUUCUUUUACAUAUGCAACUGUCUUUUUUUCUUCCGUAGAUAUUUAUAGACUGCUCCUCUAAAUCAGGUUCUUAUGAACUUGAGCUUAAGUGUCCUUAAAAAGAAAUAGAAAAUGGAAACAACAAACUGCACAAUUGGGACACUGCUUUCAAGCCAAUGGAUUUCGUUGUCAUGUGGAUGCGUUCCAAAUUUAUAAUCAGUGCAUAUUCCACUUUUUUAUAUUUUUGUUUAUGAUUUCAGACAUCUUUCAUGGUGGUGUGUGCUCCCAUAAUGUUUUUCCUCCAUUAUUAUAUACUUAUUCAAAUUUGUUUUUGUUUUCAUCUCAUUUUCUCAGUGGCCAAUCACUUUAUUCAGCAUGACUGGUGACGGCCUGACUGCUGUAUGUGCAAGAUUUAAUUUCAUAUAACAUUUUGAUUCUCAUUCUCUCUUUGUAGGCAAGCAUGUGAUAAACCUGUUUGUUCAGUACACACCCUACAGUCCUUCAGAUGGAAGCUGGGGAGAUCCUGCUUACAGAGAAUCAUUUGCACAGAGAUGUUUUAACUUGAUUGAUGAAUAUGCCCCUGGCUUCAGCACAUCAAUCAUU